rnacentral:rRNA from 1 species
GAACACUUCAGAUGCGAAAGCGUUGGGGAAGCAAACAGGAAUUAGAUACCCUGGUAGUCCCNCGCCCGUAAACGAUGUCUACUUGGAGGUUGUGGCCCUUGANCCGUGGCUUUCGGAGCUAACGCGUUAAGUAGACCGCCUGGGUAGUACGGUCGCAAGAUUAAAACUCAAAUGAAUUGACGGGGGCCCGCACAAGCGGUGGAGCAUGUGGUUUAAUUCGAUGCAACGCGAAGAACCUUACCUACUCUUGACAUCUACAGAAGCCAGCGGAGACGCAGGUGUGCCUUCGGGAACUGUAAGACAGGUGCUGCAUGGCUGUCGUCAGCUCGUGUUGUGAAAUGUUGGGUUAAGUCCCGCAACGAGCGCAACCCUUAUCCUUGUUUGCCAGCACUUCGGGUGGGAACUCCAGGGAGACUGCCGGUGAUAAACCGGAGGAAGGUGGGGACGACGUCAAGUCAUCAUGGCCCUUACGAGUAGGGCUACACACGUGCUACAAUGGCGCAUACAGAGGGCGGCCAACUUGCGAAAGUGAGCGAAUCCCAAAAAGUGCGUCGUAGUCCGGAUUGGAGUCUGCAACUCGACUCCAUGAAGUCGGAAUCGCUAGUAAUCGUGGAUCAGAAUGCCACGGUGAAUACGUUCCCGGGCCUUGUACACACCGCCCGUCACACCAUGGGAGUGGGCUGCAAAAGAAGUGGGUAGUUUAACCUUCGGGAGGACGCUCACCACUUUGUGGUUCAUGACUGGGGUGAAGUCGUAACAAGGUAACCG